rnacentral:lncRNA from 1 species
CUUUUUUUUUUUUUUUUUUUUUUCCCCAACCUUACCUGCUUGUAGUAUGGACUCUUUUCCAGCUCAGUCAGGAGAAAUAAAACAGACCUUGCCACAAAUGACAUUCCUUUCUCAAAGACAGGUGGUUGUAUUACUUGUGGUGUUGCAUCACUUACUUACCUUUUCAAUUUGUGUUCAGAAGUAGUUCUGGUAUCUUAAAAAACAAAGAAAUGAUGUGUAACUGUGCAAUAGGAGCAUUGGGGAUAAUUCAGCUGAGUAGUAGUUCUAAUUAAAUACUUGGUGAAUUUUAGACUCCUUUUCUUACUUCUUGAUAUUUUAAUAUCAUGCAAUGACAGCAUUGCUUUCCAUCAUUUCACCGUAUAAUAUGGAGCCAGAGAUUCUUGUUCAUGCCUGGUCAGUCCCUUACAGUCUGCCAUUAGUUAUUUGUAGGUAUAAAGAAAUCAUUGUUAGUGUACAGGUAGGUAGCUGAUUUCAAUACGAGAGCUGUUCAGCAGUCAUGACCGCAGGCCCAGGGCCUCACAGCAGCAGCCGUGGUGAUAGGGCACCCCUCCAGUGCCUGUGUGCAGCACAGACACUGCCUUGACCUAGCUGAUCUAUGGAGCAAUCCACAUCCAGCUCCAGACCUGCAUGUGUCUGUGCCCAGAGCACCUUCAAGCCACACACUGGAUGGGUACGGAGGUGAUCUCUGAGCCACUGCGCAACAAAUGCGGUCAACGUACGAUGAUUUUAAAAACGGAUUGUUUUAAUCUAGUUGCUUCUUGCAUUCACCUGCUUCUGCAACCCACAUCUUUCUACUUUAAAAUGGUUAAUUACCUGUUAAGUAUUUAAUUUAAUAAAACUAAAGUUAUGGUCUGGAACCCUUUUUGCCAAGUGCCUGCACAAAGCAAGAUUGUAACAAAUCAAAAUUACUAGCACAGAGUAGUGUGCAAGGACAGAACUGACAGUGAGCAUGUCCUGUCCACCCAUGUUCCUGCCUGUCUUUCUCCUGCACACAGACAUACGCAUGUAUUAUCUGAAGGGCAGGCAGUUGGUUGUCCCUCAUUCCAAACAGCUGCACUCGUGAUGCUCCUCCUGAUCCCACUGCAUGUGGCAUCUGCCAGGCCACCAGCUCAGCAGUGAGCCUCUGGGUUCUGCAAACGGGGGCGAGGAAAUAGAACGGUAGCAUUUUACUCAACUCAGCUAAAAACUGAUUAUGAAAGAGAUCUUCAGUUUUAGCUUUUCUUAGGUGGGUAGCAAUCCAGUGUCCAUGUCACCACAAUCUUAAUGCUAUAUUAGGGUGACAAAUGCUGCUUUGGCUUAAAACAUUUGUUUGUCAGUCUAAGGUCAGUUCUUCCAAAAGGUUUAGAGGGCAUAUACAGCUUUGGCUUAGAAAUAAACAAUGACCAACCUUCAUUUACAUUACUAGCUGACCUCUGCUGUGAGCUACAGAAUGCUUGAAAAUUUUAAUAGUGCAGUUUUUAAGUACAAAGGAGGUGUUUUUCAAUGGCUGUUUUGCUUUUGUUUGCAUUUGUAACCAAGAAGAACCAGCUUUUCUGCUUGUUGCUGGUGUACUAUCAACUUGCUCUGCAAUAACAUAAUCAACUAACUUGCAAGAAUAUCCAUGUUCAUUACAUAGCACAGAUAGAAGACAGGCUGGGAAGAAAUACAGAAAAAAAUCGAUCAGAAUUUCUAUUCUUAGGGUUCUGUUUUUCUAGCAAGUGUUAAGAUGGUCUAUAUUGCAGACUCCUUUUUCCUGGAUGAGGUUUUCAGGUGCAGGGUGCAGUCAUUAGCUUUGACAGCUGUUUAAAGUUGUUCCUGAAGUUCACCUCAGCAGUAGCUUUCAAAAAUAUUAAACAAACAAAAAAAAAGAACAAAAAAAAAAAAAAAAAUUCAAACCAGGUAUCAACUUAAAGCUAAUUUAAUUAAUUCCAUGAGAGGGCUGCAGAGUGUAACUGCUUCUUAUGUGCAUGCACUGCAUAGGAGCUAGGAGAAUUUGCUGUGGAUUCUUUAAAACCUGUGUGCCAAUUACUUCAGUUUAACUUUGUGGUAUUGAAGAAUUUUUCAGACAUCUGUGGUUUGAUAGACUUCGUAAACUAAACUUGUAUUCUCUAAAGUGCCAUAGACCUUUUUUUUUAAUUGUAGCAUAUUUAAAUAUAUAUAUAUAUAUACACAAACGUGUGUGAGAUGUGCAAUACCAAGAAUGGGGUUUGUUGUGUUUGGAGUUUGGGUUUUUUUCCUUAGUUUUUGCUUUUAAACAAGAUAUUUGAAAAGGCGUUCCCAAGGAAGAAGUGGCUGAGGCUUUGGUGGUGUGGACAAACUAAAGCAUGGCAUAAGGCAAUAGAAUCACUAAUUCUGAAGAUUUAGUAGUAAGAGCAGCUUAAAUAUUUAUCAGAAAUAUCUUCUAGAUUGAUUUGAAAUGCUCAGAUCUAUAUAAUACAGACAGUUCAACCGUGAAACUGUGUCUAUCCCCAGCAAU